rnacentral:sRNA from 1 species
AUAUCUCUCUGUACGGGAAGGAUGAGAAGCUUCGACUAAGGUUCGAUUCGAGCGUCAGCGAGAAAGCGUUGCCGCAGGCAACGACCCGAAGGGCGAAGCGCGCAGCGCUGAGUCAUCCUUCCCCAMCCACCA